rnacentral:tRNA from 1 species
GGCACGGUGGCAUAGUGGUUAGCACUGUUGUCUCGCAAGAAGGAGGUUCCGGGCUCGAAUCCGGGUCUGACCG